AGCGUACCUUACUGUGGACCUCCUUCUUGGAUACUUCAAAAGAGGAACUGAGGGACGGAAUAAAUUACACUCAUCUCUUCAAGGUAGCUCUAAGUCAGAAAGGAGCAUGCUGCUUGGUACUGAAGAACCUUGCAACCUGCAGCCUGUGUAUCUAACUAAAAGAUUUCAGAUAACAGGACUUUUUAUUCUUAGCUAACUUAAUUGUAGAAGUUUUAAUAGGUGAAUUUUAUUUUCAAAGGUGCAGUGAUCAUCUCUUGGACUUUAACCCAUUAAGUCUUAAGGUAUGUUUGUUCACAGUCUUGCACCCUUCAAGGCCUGAAAGAACAUUUGAGGAGUCCCUGUUUCCUGCAGCCCACACUACAUUCACUGGCAAAGAUAUCCCCAC
rnacentral:lncRNA from 1 species